UACGUAGGGUGCAAGCGUUUGUCCGGAAUUAUUGGGCGUAAAGAGCUCGUAGGCGGUCUGUCACGUCGGCUGUGAAAACCUGGGGCUCAACUCCGGGCCUGCAGCCGAUACGGGCAGACUAGAGUUCGGCAGGGGAGACUGGAAUUCCUGGUGUAGCGGUGAAAUGCGCAGAUAUCAGGAGGAACACCGGUGGCGAAGGCGGGUCUCUGGGCCGAUACUGACGCUGAGGAGCGAAAGCGUGGGGAGCGAACAGG
rnacentral:rRNA from 1 species